ensembl:snoRNA
UAGAUCAUUGAUGAGUACUCUGAGAUGUCCAAACCAAGGAUUUUGACUAACCCCUAUAACUCUGAGGUUUUU